rnacentral:tRNA from 1 species
UCCCAUGUGGUCUAGUGGUUAUGAUUCGUGGUUUCCACCCACGAGGCACGGGUUCGAUUCCCGGUGUGGGAA